rnacentral:tRNA from 1 species
UACAUUUUGGUGUAUGAUGCACAAAAGUUUUUGAUACUUUCGGGAAUAGUUUAAAUCUAUUAAAUGUAA